CUCUUGGCUGGUGUUGCUCAGUGGAUUGAAUGCUGGCCUGCAAACCGAAAGGUUGUGCGUUUGAUUCCUGCUCUUCACCUACCUCUCUGCUGCUGACGGAGUCAAUGGAGAGGGGACAACUACCUCUUGAGCUUUCUCUUCAUUGCCUUAGGGUAGCCUCCUGUUCCAGUGUAUCAGGUGGUCGAGGUGCUCUGCCAUACAAGACUAAACAACAUGGAUAGCAGGUUUGUGUCUCUAGGAACACUCAGUCACCAGGACCUAAGCAGAUGAACAAAAAUUGCAAGAAUUUAUAAUAUUUCAUUGUUGGUGUGGAUAUGGAUAAAUGGAUGUUAUCAAACCCUGUGAGCGUAAAUUGGAAGUUUCCUUGGACAAUGCAAAUUAAUGAUGAAGUAUUCACACUUGAAGAAUAUCUAUCACAUACUGAAUGAUUCAGG